rnacentral:rRNA from 1 species
GACGAGGGGUCCUAGCGUUGUUCGGAAUCACUGGGCGUAAAGCGUAUGUAGGCGGCCUGCUAAGUCAGUUGUGAAAUCCCACGGCUCAACCGUGGAAUUGCAAUUGAAACUGGCGGGCUUGAGUGCAGGAGAGGUUGGUAGAAUACCUAGUGUAGUGGUGAAAUACGUAGAUAUUAGGUGGAAUACCGGUGGCGAAGGCGGCCAACUGGCCUAGCACUGACGCUGAGAUACGAAAGCGUGGGGAUCAAACAGG